GGGUCCCACAAUGACAGCGCUAAGAUAAAAACCUGAGGUGUGUUCGAGGGGAUUUUGGAAGCAUAUUCCAGAGGGGGGUUGAGGAUCCAGUUUUGAGGACAGGGAACGAGGGGAAUGAGGGGACACCCUAUCCCUCUCCUCUCUGAGCGGAGGACAGGAUGGUACUGGAAAACACUGAGCUCUCUUUCCUUUCUGAGUUCACCACUGCCUCUGCUGCAGAUCAAGCUUCCCUAUACCACAAUGAGCUGCUUUCUCUGACAGGCUGGCCUAAGGACGUUUCCCUGGACUCAGAUGUGACUGUAUCUGAUAGGCAGGCUUAAGGACAUUUCCCUGGACUCAGAUGUGACUGUAUCUGAGAGGCUAGCCUAAGGACGUUUCCCUGGACUCAGAUGUGACUGUAUCUGAUGGGCUGGCCUAAGGACGUUUCCCUGGACUCAGGUGUGACUGUAUCUGAGAGGCUAGCCUAAGGACGUUUCCCUGGACUCAGGUGUGACUGUAUCUGGUGGGCUGGUCGAAGGACAUUUCCCUGGACUCAGAUGUGACUGUAUCUGAGAGGCUAGCCUAAGGACGUUUCCCUGGACUCAGGUGUGACUGUAUCUGAGAGGCUAGCCUAAGGACAUUUCCCUGGACUCAGAUGUGACUGUAUCUGAUGGGCUGGCCUAAGGACGUUUCCCUGGACUCAGAUGUGACUGUAUCUGAUGGGCUGGCCUAAGGACGUUUCCCUGGACUCAGGUGUGACUGUAUCUGAGAGGCUAGCCUAAGGACAUUUCCCUGGACUCAGAUGUGACUGUAUCUGAUGGGCUGGCCUGAGGACGUUUCCCUGGACUCAGAUGUGACUGUAUCUGAUGGGCUGGCCUAAGGACGUUUCCCUGGACUCAGGUGUGACUGUAUCUGGUGGGCUGGUCGAAGGACAUUUCCCUGGACUCAGAUGUGACUGUAUCUGAUAGGCAGGCUUAAGGACAUUUCCCUGGACUCAGAUGUGACUGUAUCUGAGAGGCUAGCCUAAGGACGUUUCCCUGGACUCAGGUGUGACUGUAUCUGAUGGGCUGGCCUAAGGACGUUUCCCUGGACUCAGAUGUGACUGUAUCUGAGAGGCUAGCCUAAGGACGUUUCCCUGGACUCAGGUGUGACUGUAUCUGACAGGCUAGCCUAAGGACAUUUUCCUGGACUCAGGUGUGACUGUAUCUGAGAGGCUAGCCUAAGGACGUUUCCCUGGACUCAGGUGUGACUGUAUCUGACAGGCUAGCCUAAGGACGUUUCUCUGGACUCAGGUGUGACUGUAUCUGGUGGGCUGGUCGAAGGACGUUUCCCUGGACUCAGAUGUGACUGUAUCUGACAGGCUAGCCUAUGGACGUUUCCUACAGUUGAAUGGAUGCAAGGUUCCAGAGAAAUAAACCUAUUUUGCUGCAUUAUUUGUCUCUGAGACGACAGAACGGGAAUCGUAACAAGUGCACAGGGGGACAGCUGUAUGUUGAAAGGUCGGGGAGGCAGGUAGCCUAGCGUUUAAGAGCAAAGGGCCAGUAAUGAAAAGGUCACUGGUUCAAAUCGCAGAGUCAACUACAUGAAAAGGCAAUGUACCCUGGAGCAAGCCACUUAACUGUAAUUGCUCUCAAUAAGUGUGUCUGAUAAGAACAUAUUAGCUGUAUGUGGCACAAAUGAUGAGACCUGAACCAAAAAAGUGUGUGCGUGGAAACACAUAUGUGUUCGAGAGGAAAAUCCCCUGUCAACCUCUCACCACUCUAUCAGUUGUUGCAAAGCUCAAGGGACUCUUGCUGUCAAGUCUGCACUGGCACUGAGAGAGACUGGGACCUGAUGUAAUAAAAAAGACAAGCAAACAAAUCAAAAAAAAUAACUACGAUGUCAAUCUAACAGAGAUCUGGGAGCCGCGACCUCUGGGGUGUCACAGAGACAAAUAUUCUGGUUCUGUUGUUCUUUGGUCUGUUUGAGACUUUCCGUUCUCAUGUCGACCUGUUGUCCAUCCCUGAUGAUAGAGAUGUGUGAUAAAAGCAGUGUUAAAACUACUCCUGCACACAAGUUUGCUUCUGCACCCUUGUAAAUAUGAAGGCCUAUCGGAACUUACACAUACAAAUAAACAAGCAUAAGUGAAUGUUAUUGCAGGGAGUAUUUUUUUGUCUUUGAGCAUAGAAUAUUGGUAAGAAUUUGUUUUAUUCCCAGCACCACAGAAAUAGGUGGUGGUGGUUGUGUGUGUGUGUGUGUGUGUGUGUGUGUGUGUGUGUGUGUGUGUGUGUGUGUGUGUGUGUGUGUGUGUGUGUGUGUGUGUGUGUGUGUGUGUGUGUGUGUGUGUGUGUGUGUGUGUGUGUGUGUGUGUGUGCGUGCGUGCGUGCGUGCGUAGCUCUGUUACAGUCUAAGGCUAAUAACUGUACUGUGCCACCCACCCCCUACUCCUAAACUCACCUAUACCCCUUUGCCCUCUAACCCACUUAUCUCAAUAAUAAACGGCUUCCCGGAAAUCCACACGCUUCCUUACAAAACCCUGAUUUGUUUGUAACCUAAACCCUGUCUCAUCUAAAAUCAGACCCUGACCCUGUCUCAUCUGAACCCAGACCCUGUCUCAUCUAAAAUCAGACUCUGACCCUGUCUCAUCUGAACCCAGACCCUGUCUCCUCUAAAACCAGACCCUGACCCUGUCUCAUCUAAAAUCAGACCCUGACCCUGUCUCAUCUGAACCCAGACCCUGUCUCCUCUAAAACCAGAAACCUCAGUCCUAACCAAACCCAGUUCAGACCCAGUUUAUCCUAUAGUAUCUGAUACAACUCUCAACCCUCUAAGCCAAACCCACAGACCUACCCCCACCCCCACCUUAUAGCUUAUCCAUCACCAUCCUAGGUCCCUACGCCCUCUGCAGUCCCCCAAAGCACAAAGGUUGGAGUGGUGUAGAAGUAAGCCCCGUGAAAGAGAAACCCUUCCAUUCUGUUCGUGUCUGUCUAUCUAUCUGUUUACGGCUUAUAAACUUUGUGCUUUUGUAUUCCGAAUGUACAGAGCCCCCCUCCCCUCCCUUCUCUGUCUAUAUCAGAACGUUGUAUAACUGUAUAUUCAAAACAAGGACUCUUCAUGUGCAAACAAAUCUAUUUCUUUCUUCUUCUUUUUGGUAAUUGUUCCAAGGUCAUAUAGUUUAAAAGAUGAGUAGGUAAAUGAAAAACAUAAAUAAAGAGAUAUAUUGAACAAUUUAAAGAGACCACAUUUUCAGCUGUACUCUGUACUCAUCUGUACUCUAUCUUCUUGUUUUGUCCUACUUUCUGUAUGCUUCCAAUGUGCUUCAGAGAUACAGUACUAUUAUGAUAUUGUUAAAUUAUUAUCACAAUUAUUAUUGCAGUUAUUAUCAUGAUUACUACAGUUAUUAAUAAAUAUUUAUUUCCUCGA